rnacentral:rRNA from 1 species
GUCCACGCCGUAACGAUGAUUACUAACUGUAGGCGAUACACAGCCUGUGGUUGAGGGAACCAUUAAGUAAUCCACCUGGGGAGUACGCUCGCAAGAGUGAACUCAAGGAAUUGACGGGCCCGCACAAGCGGAGGAACAUGUGGUUUAAUUCGAUGAUACGCGAGGAACCUUACCUAGGCUUAAAUGGGGAGUGACAGCCGCCGAAAGGUGGUCUUCUUCGGACACUCUUCAAGGUGCUGCAUGGUUGUCGU